AUCCCAUGGUGAGAGCACUUGUGAAGUAACUCUUUGAAUGUUUCUCAUGCCUUAUAUAAGGUUUCGUCAUCCAUUUACUGGAAAGUGGUGAUCUCAUUCCGCAACUU
rfam:Gossypium arboreum cultivar AKA8401 contig_30401_1, whole genome shotgun sequence.